UGCCAGCAGCCGCGGUAAUACGGAGGGGGUUAGCGUUGUUCGGAAUUACUGGGCGUAAAGCGCACGUAGGCGGAUUAGUAAGUUAGAGGUGAAAUCCCGCGGCUCAACCGCGGACGUGCAUUGGAUACUGGCAGUCUUGAGUCCCGGAGAGGAGAGCGGAAUUCCUAGUGUAGAGGUGAAAUUCGUAGAUAUUAGGAGGAACACCAGUGGCGAAAGUGGCUCUCUGGGCGGUGACUGACGCUGAGGCACGAAAGCAUAGGUAGCAAACAGGAUUAGAUA
rnacentral:rRNA from 1 species